AACCCGGACCAGGCCAGCGGCGAUUGAGAGACAAGCGGAACCUUCUGGAAAGUUGGGCCAUAGCGGGUGACAGCCCCGUACGCGUAAUGCGAUCAAUCGUCCUUGAGUAAGGCGGGACACGUGAAAUCCUGUCUGAAAUUGGGAGGACCACCUUCCAAGCCUAAGUACUCGUGCAUGACCGAUAGCGAACUAGUACCGUGAGGGAAAGGUGAAAAGCACCCCGACAAGGGGAGUGAAAGAGUACCUGAAACCGAUUGCCUACAAACAGUGGGAGCCCGUCCUUCAAAUCGCUUGACGAUUUGAAGAACUUUUGAUUUUGCCAUCAAGAGCGCAAGCGCUUUGAUGGGCGGGUGACCACGUACCUUUUGUAUAAUGGGUCAGCGACUUAGUGUGACGAGCAAGCUUAAACCGAUAGGUGUAGGCGCAGCGAAAGCGAGUCUGAACAGGGCGUUCAGUUCGUCGCAUUAGACCCGAAACCGAGUGAUCUAGCCAUGAGCAGGCUGAAGGUAAGGUAACACUUACUGGAGGGCCGAACCCAUAACUGUUGCAAUAGUUCGGGAUGACUUGUGGCUAGGGGUGAAAGGCCAAUCAAACUCGGAAAUAGCUGGUUCUCCGCGAAAUCUAUUUAGGUAGAGCGUCGACCGAAUACCCCAGGGGGUAGAGCACUGGAUGGGCUAGGGGUCCUCACCGGAUUACCAAACCUAACCAAACUCCGAAUACCUGGGAGUACUAGUCGGCAGACACACGGCGGGUGCUAACGUCCGUCGUGAAAAGGGAAACAACCCUGACCUACAGCUAAGGUCCCCAAGUUAUGGCUAAGUGGGAAAGGAUGUGAGGAUCCCAAAACAACCAGGAUGUUGGCUUAGAAGCAGCCAUCAUUUAAAGAAAGCGUAACAGCUCACUGGUCUAAAUAAGGGUCUUUGCGCCGAAAAUGUAACGGGGCUAAAGCCAUACACCGAAGCUUAGGGUUCGUGAGCAAUCACGAGCGGUAGCGGAGCGUUCUGUAAGCCAGUGAAGCCGUACCCGUGAGGGGCGGUGGAGGUAUCAGAAGUGCGAAUGCUGACAUGAGUAACGUAAGGGGAGUGAGAGACUCCCCCGCCGAAAGACCAAGGGUUCCUGCUUAAAGUUAAUCUGAGCAGGGUUAGCCGGCCCCUAAGACGAGGCGGAAACGCGUAGUCGAUGGGAAUCACGUUAAUAUUCGUGAGCCUGGAGGUAGUGACGGAUCACACAAGUUGUCCAAUCUUAUCGGAUUGAAAGGGCAGCGGAGUGGUUCCAGGAAAUAGCUCCUCCUUAUAGACCGUACCCGAAACCGACACUGGUGGUCUGGUAGAGUAUACCAAGGCGCUUGAGAGAACUAUGCUGAAGGAACUCGGCAAAUUGCACGCGUAACUUCGGAAGAAGCGUGACCCUUUUUUGCGCAAGCAGAGGAGGGUGGCACAGACCAGGGGGUAGCGACUGUUUAUCAAAAACACAGGGCUCUGCGAAGUCGCAAGACGACGUAUAGGGUCUGACGCCUGCCCGGUGCUGGAAGGUUAAGAGGAGGGGUGCAAGCUCUGAAUCGAAGCCCCAGUAAACGGCGGCCGUAACUAUAACGGUCCUAAGGUAGCGAAAUUCCUUGUCGGGU
rnacentral:rRNA from 1 species